AAGCCACGCCCUCUGACACACCCUCACUGCUGGGUCAUGUGACAGGCGGCGCGGGAAGAUGGCGGCGUCCUGCGAGGAAUUGCAGUAGCAUGGAAGAGAAUUCUUCCUAAUGGACAACUGAGCAGAUUGGGACUCCAGAGAUUCUGCAAGCUUGAGGCAGGUGGUGCCUUUGGCUUCCAUCACGUGGAAGGUGAAUGCGUGGCGAGAAGACUCCGAGCUGUUGAGUUCACUCUUAUGGACGACCUCACCAUGGAUGAGGAUGAGUCCACCUGUGGGAAAGAAUCACCUGGACUGCUGCUUUCCAAAAGAUGAGCUCUGGCUUUCCAAUGGAAGCGAAGGUGCAGGGUUAAAAUAGGAUUUUAGCUCCCUUGUGUUUUCUUGAGCUGUGAAGCACCUUUGGAGUGCUGUUUGUACCUUUACUUAUAGGCAGAGGUAUGAACUGCUUCUCAUCAUAGGCUGGCUCUGAGCCUACAAACUCUACACAUGUUGAGGCACCUGAAGCUGCACGGACCAUCCUCCGGGUAAUCCCAUCUGCAAAUCCACAGAGUAAGCCAACACACAAAAAUUAAACACCUGGCUACAACCUGCACAGUAAAGGAGCAAUAUCAGUUA